rnacentral:lncRNA from 1 species
UUCCGAGGGCCGAGAAGAUCGGAUUUCAGAACACCGGAGAGGCCUGGGACGAUGACCAAAUGAGAAAGAGAGAGAAUUAGGUUUUAGGGAAAUAGAAGGAGAGAAGGUCUUGCUGGAGGAAAUAAAGAGGAGUGAAGGACGAGCGGUGGUGAAGAGCGUAGCCAUGGCCAAUCUCUGUGUUCUUCUCUUCUCGCUCUGCGAGAAAAAUGGAAAAGAAGAUUACUAAAGUAUCAAAAAUCACACG